rnacentral:lncRNA from 1 species
GAAUGUCCCCUCCCCUCCCCAGCCCACCCCCAGACCUCAUAUUCUGGAAAGAGAAAGCACAGGCUGAGGGACGCUGGGAGCCCUGAAAGAAAUGCGCUAACAGCAGGCCCCUACCCCCAGCCUGGUAAAUCUCUCAUCUAUAAUCCAACACAAGAGACAACAGGCAAACAGCAAGAGGUCAUCUUCAAAGAGCCGGUUGCUACGGGAAGCGGGUAUAGAGGCACCAAGCAUGUCCCCAUCAAAGUCCGGCAGCUGCGGAAGAACCACAAAGCUUAUCUGCAAGUCUGAAACUAUUCUGAAAUUAGAAGCUGGCUUCUUUCAAUAGCGAUAACCUCUACAGCCCAGAAGCACCUUUGCUUUUAAAAAUCUGUCCAUGUAAAUACGCCUGCGCAUAUUCACUACAUCUCAGAAGUUAACAGCGGUUCUGAGUGGUCAGAUUGAAGACGGUGCUCAUCUCCUUGUCCCUGUGAGAUCCGUGGUUCUCAAAGGGGAGUUGUCAGAUCAGUAGCAGCAGCAUCUGGAAACUUGUUAUAAAUGCAGUUCUCAGCUUCCCCCAUCUCCAGGGCCACUGAUUCAGACUCUGAGGUGGGGCCAGGUGAUUUUGAUGCACACAGAAGUUCGAGAACGCGGUUCCAGAUGACGGAAACUGGCUUUGUCACGAGUGUCACUGUUACAGUCAAAACAACAGAACAGGCAGACUUGAAAAGGAGCUUGGAAGUGCGCCCAAAGCAAAGAACCUGGAACAGACAGGUGAACCCACCGCCCUGGUGGGGCACCCAAAACCCAGGCCACAGGAGAGCCGUGCCAAGGUUGGAGCCGAGUGACUUGAAACCUGAAGACGGUGGGGCUUUUUCGCCCGUGACACCAAAGUGGGCUGCCUCUGAGGGGCCCUGCAGAGCUGCCUCUGGGGACAAAGGACGGGAACAGGGACAGGUCUGUAUGCUUGUGUCUGAGGUCAGAGGAAUUGAGAUAUCCCGAAAUUUCACCCUGGAAGCGCCACAGCAGGAGAACGACACUGAGAGGAUCAAGAAUCGUGACAGGGGCUUCCCUGGUAGUCCAGUGGCUAAGAGUCCACUUUGCCAUGCAGGGGAUGCAGGUUCAAUCCCUAACUGGGGAACUAGGAUCCCACAGGCCGUGAAGCAACUAAGCCUGCACGAGCCACCAACUACUGACCCAGAGGGCUGCAACUAG